GGUUAAGCGACUAAGCGUACACGGUGGAUGCCCUGGCAGUCAGAGGCGAUGAAGGACGUGCUAAUCUGCGAUAAGCGCCGGUAAGGUGAUAUGAACCGUUAUAACCGGCGAUUUCCGAAUGGGGAAACCCAGUGUGAUUCGUCACACUAUCAUUAACUGAAUCCAUAGGUUAAUGAGGCGAACCGGGGGAACUGAAACAUCUAAGUACCCCGAGGAAAAGAAAUCAACCGAGAUUCCCCCAGUAGCGGCGAGCGAACGGGGAGGAGCCCAGAGCCUGAAUCAGCAUGUGUGUUAGUGGAAGCGUCUGGAAAGGCGCGCGAUACAGGGUGACAGCCCCGUACACAAAAGCGCAUGUGCUGUGAGCUCGAUGAGUAGGGCGGGACACGUGGUAUCCUGUCUGAAUAUGGGGGGACCAUCCUCCAAGGCUAAAUACUCCUGACUGACCGAUAGUGAACCAGUACCGUGAGGGAAAGGCGAAAAGAACCCCGGCGAGGGGAGUGAAAAAGAACCUGAAACCGUGUACGUACAAGCAGUGGGAGCACAGGUUUACCUGUGUGACUGCGUACCUUUUGUAUAAUGGGUCAGCGACUUAUAUUCUGUAGCAAGGUUAACCGAAUAGGGGAGCCGGAGGGAAACCGAGUCUUAAUUGGGCGUUAAGUUGCAGGGUAUAGACCCGAAACCCGGUGAUCUAGCCAUGGGCAGGUUGAAGGUUGGGUAACACUAACUGGAGGACCGAACCGACUAAUGUUGAAAAAUUAGCGGAUGACCUGUGGCUGGGGGUGAAAGGCCAAUCAAACCGGGAGAUAGCUGGUUCUCCCCGAAAGCUAUUUAGGUAGCGCCUCGUGAACUCAUCUCCGGGGGUAGAGCACUGUUUCGGCUAGGGGGCCAUCCCGGCUUACCAACCCGAUGCAAACUGCGAAUACCGGAGAAUGUUAUCACGGGAGACACACGGCGGGUGCUAACGUCCGUCGUGAAGAGGGAAACAACCCAGACCGCCAGCUAAGGUCCCAAAGUCAUGGUUAAGUGGGAAACGAUGUGGGAAGGCCCAGACAGCCAGGAUGUUGGCUUAGAAGCAGCCAUCAUUUAAAGAAAGCGUAAUAGCUCACUGGUCGAGUCGGCCUGCGCGGAAGAUGUAACGGGGCUAAACCAUGCACCGAAGCUGCGGCAGCGACACUGUGUGUUGUUGGGUAGGGGAGCGUUCUGUAAGCCUGUGAAGGUGGCCUGUGAGGGUUGCUGGAGGUAUCAGAAGUGCGAAUGCUGACAUAAGUAACGAUAAAGCGGGUGAAAAGCCCGCUCGCCGGAAGACCAAGGGUUCCUGUCCAACGUUAAUCGGGGCAGGGUGAGUCGACCCCUAAGGCGAGGCCGAAAGGCGUAGUCGAUGGGAAACAGGUUAAUAUUCCUGUACUUGGUGUUACUGCGAAGGGGGGACGGAAGGCUAUGUUGGCCGGGCGACGGUUGUCCCGGUUUAAGCGUGUAGGCUGGUUUUCCAGGCAAAUCCGGAAAAUCAAGGCUGAGGCGUGAUGACGAGGCACUACGGUGCUGAAGCAACAAAUGCCCUGCUUCCAGGAAAAGCCUCUAAGCAUCAGGUAACAUCAAAUCGUACCCCAAACCGACACAGGUGGUCAGGUAGAGAAUACCAAGGCGCUUGAGAGAACUCGGGUGAAGGAACUAGGCAAAAUGGUGCCGUAACUUCGGGAGAAGGCACGCUGACACGUAGGUGAAGUGAUUUACUCAUGGAGCUGAAGUCAGUCGAAGAUACCAGCUGGCUGCAACUGUUUAUUAAAAACACAGCACUGUGCAAACACGAAAGUGGACGUAUACGGUGUGACGCCUGCCCGGUGCCGGAAGGUUAAUUGAUGGGGUCAGCGCAAGCGAAGCUCCUGAUCGAAGCCCCGGUAAACGGCGGCCGUAACUAUAACGGUCCUAAGGUAGCGAAAUUCCUUGUCGGGUAAGUUCCGACCUGCACGAAUGGCGUAAUGAUGGCCAGGCUGUCUCCACCCGAGACUCAGUGAAAUUGAACUCGCUGUGAAGAUGCAGUGUACCCGCGGCAAGACGGAAAGACCCCGUGAACCUUUACUAUAGCUUGACACUGAACAUUGAGCCUUGAUGUGUAGGAUAGGUGGGAGGCUUUGAAGCGUGGACGCCAGUCUGCGUGGAGCCGACCUUGAAAUACCACCCUUUAAUGUUUGAUGUUCUAACGUGGACCCGUAAUCCGGGUUGCGGACAGUGUCUGGUGGGUAGUUUGACUGGGGCGGUCUCCUCCUAAAGAGUAACGGAGGAGCACGAAGGUUGGCUAAUCCUGGUCGGACAUCAGGAGGUUAGUGCAAUGGCAUAAGCCAGCUUGACUGCGAGCGUGACGGCGCGAGCAGGUGCGAAAGCAGGUCAUAGUGAUCCGGUGGUUCUGAAUGGAAGGGCCAUCGCUCAACGGAUAAAAGGUACUCCGGGGAUAACAGGCUGAUACCGCCCAAGAGUUCAUAUCGACGGCGGUGUUUGGCACCUCGAUGUCGGCUCAUCACAUCCUGGGGCUGAAGUAGGUCCCAAGGGUAUGGCUGUUCGCCAUUUAAAGUGGUACGCGAGCUGGGUUUAGAACGUCGUGAGACAGUUCGGUCCCUAUCUGCCGUGGGCGCUGGAGAACUGAGGGGGCUGCUCCUAGUACGAGAGGACCGGAGUGGACGCAUCACUGGUGUUCGGGUUGUCAUGCCAAUGGCACUGCCCGGUAGCUAAAUGCGGAAGAGAUAAGUGCUGAAAGCAUCUAAGCACGAAACUUGCCCCGAGAUGAGUUCUCCCUGAGACUUAGAGUCUCCUGAAGGAACGUUGAAGACGACGACGUUGAUAGGCCGGGUGUGUAAGCGCAGCGAUGCGUUGAGCUAACCGGUACUAAUGAACCGUGAGGCUUAACCUU
rnacentral:rRNA from 1 species